GAUGAACGCUGGCGGCGUGCCUAAUACAUGCAAGCCGAGCGAACAGAUGAGGAGCUUGCUCCUCUGACGUUAGCGGCGGACGGGUGAGUAACACGUGGAUAACCUACCUAUAAGACUGGGAUAACUUCGGGAAACCGGAGCUAAUACCGGAUAAUAUAUUGAACCGCAUGGUUCAAUAGUGAAAGACGGUUUUGCUGUCACUUAUAGAUGGAUCCGCGCCGCAUUAGCUAGUUGGUAAGGUAACGGCUUACCAAGGCAACGAUGCGUAGCCGACCUGAGAGGGUGAUCGGCCACACUGGAACUGAGACACGGUCCAGACUCCUACGGGAGGCAGCAGUAGGGAAUCUUCCGCAAUGGGCGAAAGCUUGACGGAGCAACGCCGCGUGAGUGAUGAAGGUCUUCGGAUCGUAAAACUCUGUUAUUAGGGAAGAACAAAUGUGUAAGUAACUAUGCACGUCUUGACGGUACCUAAUCAGAAAGCCACGGCUAACUACGUG
rnacentral:rRNA from 1 species